GAUGAACGCUGGCGGCGUGCCUAAUACAUGCAAGUCGAACGCAUUGUGGUUGAAAUGAUAUGAAGAACUUGUUCAGAUUUGAUUUUCAACAUUGCAAUGAGUGGCGAACGGGUGAGUAACACGUGGGAAACCUACCUCUUAGCAGGGGAUAACAUUUGGAAACAAAUGCUAAUACCGUAUAAUAAUUAAAACCGCAUGGUUUUAGUUUAAAAGAUGGUCUUGCUAUCACUAAGAGAUGGUCCCGCGGUGUAUUAGUUAGUUGGUGAGGUAAUGGCUCACCAAGACAAUGAUACAUAGCCGAGUUGAGAGACUGACCGGCCACAAUGGGACUGAGACACGGCCCAUACUCCUACGGGAGGCAGCAGUAGGGAAUCUUCCACAAUGGACGAAAAGUCUGAUGGAGCAACGCCG
rnacentral:rRNA from 1 species